rnacentral:siRNA from 1 species
ACACAAAGAUCAAGCUUAGAUGCC